rnacentral:lncRNA from 1 species
UCCUGUCUGGAUGGGAACUCUAGGAAGCAGUGCAGCCAGCUUGGAGAUGAUAUGUUUGUCUUUGGGAACCAGUAGACAUUUCCUCUGGCUUUUUACAGCCUCGGGUUUGGCAGUGAUAGAGACUUUCUGAAGGAAGCAAAGCCUUGAGGAUUCCCUUAUGACUGGAGACGAUGCAGGGAUGGAUGAAGAAAUGAGUAAAGGCACUUGCCA